rnacentral:lncRNA from 1 species
AGGGUUUGUACGUAGGAAUGGAAGCGAUUGCUGUUAUGACAUCCAAGCCUGUAAUUCAAACGUAACCAAGACGUGAACAACAUGAGAGAAUGAUAACACACAGAGGAACAUACUAGGUGUUCUGUCAUAUAACAGUAAGCAUGUAAAAUGCAAGGAAGGAGUCAAAAUGCCUUCAAAGUAAAUCCCAGCUAAAUGUCUUCAAGAAUUAAAAAUGCUACUUUG